rnacentral:rRNA from 1 species
CAGCAGCCGCGGUAAAACGGAGGGUGCAAGCGUUAAUCGGAAUUACUGGGCGUAAAGCGUGCGUAGGCGGUUCGUUAAGUCUGUUGUGAAAGCCCCGGGCUCAACCUGGGAAUGGCAAUGGAUACUGGCGAGCUAGAGUGUGUCAGAGGAUGGUGGAAUUCCCGGUGUAGCGGUGAAAUGCGUAGAGAUCGGGAGGAACAUCAGUGGCGAAGGCGGCCAUCUGGGACAACACUGACGCUGAGGCACGAAAGCGUGGGGAGCAAACAGGAUUAGAUACCCGCGUAGUCCCUGUCUCUUAUAC